ensembl:lncRNA
AAAAAAGAAAAGAAAGAGGGUGGGGAAAAAGAUUCAGUUUCCAUUCUCCCGUAUGCCAUUCCUCCCUUCUCUGCUGUGGUCCCACCUUUGCCCCUUGCACCAGUCAUGGCUCUAAUCAAAUAUUUGCAUGAAACGAUUCAGUUUAUUAACUCGAGAAAAUCCUGCCCUCUUUGUGCUGGGUGAACAGGUUGAAGUGGGUUACAGAGGAGUCUGCCAAGGGCUGGACCAGAGACAGAGCAGGCGCUGGGUGGGGUUAGCUGGGAGCAGAGGAACAAGAUUAUCCUUCCAGCCCUGACAAGUUACUAGAUCAACUCACCUUGCCUCAUGGAACCACAAGCUUAGAGGUUUACCUCUAAACUCUUGGAGCCAUGUAGAUAAUCUGCUUAACCCAGCGUCUUUGUAGGGUCUAUGGGGAAAGGAGGUGCUUAGCCCACAGGACAGGACUGCUGUACGGACCUGGAGAACUUCACAGCAGUUCAGACCUCCCUCCUCUGCCACUGAAGGCAAACACCAUCCUGACAGCACCUCUUGUCCAGGUCUCCGGACGUGGGUGCAAACACCAGGGGGGACUGCUCCUUUGGUGAACGAAACUUGGAGGGAAAUCACCGGUUCUGCAUCCCUCCAUCCACCGCCAGGAGCCAAGAGGGGGCCGCGCACCGCCGCUGAGCUGCUGCAGCCAGGAGGUUAUUUCUCCCCGGAACAGGUGUCAAAGGACGAAGGGUCUCACUCCUCAGUUCGGGCUACCAGCUGCGCUGUACGGCACAACGACCAGUUUAGCAGGCCUGUUCUUCCAUCUCCACCUUGCAUACUGCUCAACAAUUACACUCCCACCAAACGCUACAAACUAUGUAAACCAGUGGUACACUCACAAACCCACAAGCACACCAAUUGCCACCCUAACUUCCCUGUCACUUUAUUACGCUGUUUGUGCUCUGUCAGUUCCUUAAGUCCUCAGCAUUGUAUUGACGCACCGUUUCUCUCCCACAGCUCAAAGGAAAGCUACCAACUAAGUGGUGCUAAUUUACUAACCAGUAGCAACAAGAAAUACCAAAGCGUUCAGAGUCUCAAAUUAGAACAGUUGCCAGGGUCUUCAGACUUAUAAAAUAUUUUCUGUAGGCCGUGAUGUUUGGCAUAAAUACACUGCCGGAGUAAGGUCAUCCAAAUCAAAACCAUAACCAGUGGAAUGGUGGCAGAAAACGUUAACAAUUAUGAUACACAUGUUCUUUUUCCCCUUAGGACAAGAGAUUCUCAUCAUGUUCCUUUUUGUUAUGCCAGAAAUAUUUAACUGAUUCAUGUUUUGUGGUAUAGAUACAUUAAGUCAGUUUCUGUUCCUGUUUCUUAACAGUUCAUUUUAUGUAACAUACAGAUUCAUUUGAGCCGAAGUAAAGUAUUCUGAUCUCUAACAUUUCUUUAUCUCUAACCCGUAACUACCACUAAUAAAUUUCUGAUGCGGGUCCAGUGGGAUACAGGUUCUAACAAGCAAAUUUAGCAAAGGUUUGAAGAUGGACUGACGUGCCUCUCUAGUGUUAUUUGUAAACCUCGUUAUUUUGCUUCAGGAGGCUGAAGCAGAUAUUUCCACUAUGGAAAAAACUAAGGGAACAGACUGUUUUCUACCUUAACACUAUCAUCACAGGGAAGUAAAAUCCAAAAGGAGAGAAGUGACAUAACUGGGCCAUGAUUGAUGCACAUGGGCAAUUCACAUUAGAAAAUAAGGAUCAUGUGGCAGGCAAGGCUGAACAGGGAAGCAAAGGCAACCCUAAGCACUAUCUAUAAUUAGCCCUAAAGUGGGAAGAAACAGAAUGAUCUGGGUUCACAAGAGGUCAUGCAAAAGUGCUGCUUUUCAGUUUCGGGAGCAGCAGGUUCACACUGGCAGAGCUGCAUGCUUGAACCACCCCCACAGUCAACGUCAACUAAAGUCACAGAGUUUAGGGCUUUUUUCCCCCCUACAGACAAUCACGUUACUGCUUUUUAUAUGCAAAAAUUGCUAACAAAAAGCAAAUUUCAAAAUCUCCAGCAUGAGUGUUCAUGGAAACCAAAGCUUAAACAGAUCAGUAAACAAGAGAGAAAUGACCCGAUUUCCACCCAUUAUAAAUAGGACCACGCCUCACCCACAAUGAUUUUCUGUCAGUGCCUGUGGGUGAUGACAGAACUCUGUCAUUCAGUAAAUGCACUCGAUAUAUUGGAAGUAGGGUGGAACACCACUGAACAAAGUCUCUUCAAGUAAGUACCUGGCAAGUAGCACUUAAAAGAAGUCUGCAAAUUAAAUAUAAAUCUUUUGCUAGACAAUGAGAUGUGCAGUCUCGUUGCUCUGGUCAUGAUACCCUGAACAAAUACUCCACAGUUUGAAAAAUAAUAAUUUUAUAAUUGCCUGAGGGUAGACAUAGAUAGAGUGCACAGUCUUGUGAAGAGAUAAACAUAAGAAGCAAUAUAGCUUUAUUAAUGGUGGUUCUGCUUGCUAAUAAACAGUGGUUCUCAGCUGACCUAUUUCCUGGUAAUUAAAGUAUUCUAGCUUCUUCAGAGUUAAUACAGAUCACUUUGCAAAAUACACUGUUAUUCCUUGGAGACAUACUUUCAUAUUUUUUGUAUUUUUUUCAUAAGUUACUGCUCCUGAAAUGAUGUUUUUUCUGAGAUUCAGAGCUCUAGUGGUUUUUCAGCCAGGCAGAGGAGAAAAAUCUUCAAGUAGCCAGCAUGACCAGUCAUGGUGAAACAGCUCGAUUUGAAGAGAAAAUACUCCAUUAUACAACAAUUUCUUAAAAGGGCAUGGUACAAUGCUAAAGUAGAGACCAGUAGAAUGAAAAAAAACAUGGAGAUGUGGAUAACUCCUUCUAAACUUUAAUAGGCAAGUGUUUGGUGGCCUUGGACACACUGGAAAUCAUUCCCUUCCCCUUCCCUCUUUCUCUAGCAGAAUAUUUUGGUUAUAAAACACCAAAUGAGCAAUCACAGCAAUUUUGGAUUAACCAGAUCUAAUAUCGGGAAACUAUCCACUUGUGUACAUAUAUCAGCAAACUUACUGCCAAUACAACACACAAGCAUCCUGCUCCCCUUUCUUGUAAAAGGUAGACUGAAAGUUCAGUUUAAUGGAUAGCUACAUUUCAGAAAUUACUAUACCGUGAAUAGGUCCAUUGCUCCUCAGCAACAAGUGUUAUAGGAAAACUCCACACUGAAAUUCACAGCCAAAAUGGGAGACAUCAGUACAAGUGUCUGGCAAAGCAAUCCUUAAAUCUUAUCGUAUCAACUACUUAAUUCAUUUUGUGCUGUGAACAGAUAAGUGUUUAGGGAAUAAGUUGGAGUAAGAAACUGUAGUUAUGUUAUUAACAAGCAGAUUAAUCAUUUUAAUAUCCAGAAACCUAAUAACAACAAAGAAAAAUUAUAGCUAUGUUCUGAUUCAUAGCACGUGUCAGAAUAAUGCUAGUGUGAAAUAAUAAAAUGAAAGGACACAAAUCAUCCCAAAGAACAUGUUUUACUCCUAUGCAGUAUUCGCCUGUAUUGUUAAUCAGAUUUGGCACGUUCAUAAUUUUCAACAGGAAAACCAAAAUAAAACAGAUUAAAAAAAUACAUACUUUCCCCAGGUAGUAAAGGCAGGCAUUAAAAACAUUCUCAUCCAACCUGCAUAUGAUUAAACAUUGUUUUAGUAUUUUUUUUUCGGUACGAAUAGAAUUUCAUAAAUCGCUGAACAACAGUCACACAAGUAAAGAUCAUAUUUUUCACCGUGAAAUAAGAAGAUAUUUCAUGGAAGAGCUCACAGAAAAAAUUAAAGCUCUGCUAGUUCUUCUAAAUAAAGAUGGCAUACUGCUUUCUUGGACUUAAUUUAUGUUCAGAUCCAUUCAGACCUUACUCUUCUACUUAGAUUUGACUGAACUGAUAAUUUGUCCUACUGAUACAUGCCAAUGCAUUUAUAUAUUAAAGUAUGUAAAACAUGCUCUAUCGCACGCAUUACCGAUAAUCUUAAGGCAAUGAAAAGCAUAACCAGUGCAGCCUUUAUGUAAAUGAAUGGCUUAGACAGUUCUAUAUGCUAUUUUGGGUCUUCUCAGCCAUUUAGUUCUCUUACGUUAAAAAAGGAAAAGAUAGAAAGGGAAAAAGAGCUGUAACUCUAGAAUAGUAGGGGAUGAGUUUCUGAAAGUACACGGACUAUAAUUUUAUUUUAGAAUGGCUUAAGGAAAAAGGGAAAUACUAAUGUUUUCAAUAAAACCACAUAUACCUUUAAGUCUGGUCAAUUUGUAUACUGGCGUAAAGCACAGACCAAUUCUCUUACAAGUACAGCUUUUCUUCACAUCUUUUAGUAAUGCAAACAACUGUUAGGAGUAAACAC